rnacentral:rRNA from 1 species
CCCCUAGAUGUUCUGGGCCGCACGCGCGCUACACUGAACAGUUCAACAAGUCUUAACCUUGGCCGAUAGGUCUGGGUAAUCUCUGAACGCUGUUCGUGAUUGGGAUAGACCUUUGCAAUUAUGGGUCUUCAACGAGGAAUUCCUAGUAAACGCAAGUCAUCAGCUUGCAUUGAUUACGUCCCUGCCCUUUGUACACACCGCCCGUCGCACCUACCGAUUGAAUGGUCCGGUGAAAUCUCGGGACGGCGGCUUGGUCGCUUGCGUCCGACUGCUGAAACUUGAUUAAACCAUAUCAUUUAGAGGAAGGUGAANUCGUANCA